UACAGAGGGGGCCAGCGUUAUUCGGAAUUAUUGGGCGUAAAGGGCGCGUAGGCGGCCAUGCGUGUCUUCCGUGAAAUCCCUCGGCUUAACUGAGGACGUGCGGAAGAAACUGCAAGGCUUGAGUCCGGGAGAGGGGGGUGGAAUUCCCAGUGUAGGCGGUGAAAUGCGUAGAUAUCGGGAAGGAACACCAGUGGCGAAGGCGACUACCUGGCCUGUUCUUGACGCUGACGGCGCGGAAAGCUAAG
rnacentral:rRNA from 1 species